rnacentral:rRNA from 1 species
AACGAACGCUGGCGACAGGCUUAACACAUGCAAGUCGAACGCAUGCCUUCGGGCAUGAGUGGCAGACGGGUGAGUAACGCGUGGGAACCUACCCCUUGGUACGGGAUAGCUCCGGGAAACUGGAGAUAAUACCGUAUGUGUCCUGAGGGACAAAGAUUCAUCGCCAAGGGAUGGGCCCGCGUCGGAUUAGCUAGUUGGUGGGGUAACGGCCUACCAAGGCGACGAUCCGUAGCUGGUCUAAGAGGAUGAUCAGCCACAUUGGGACUGAGACACGGCCCAAACUCCUACGGGAGGCAGCAGUGGGGAAUAUUGGACAAUGGGCGCAAGCCUGAUCCAGCCAUGCCGCGUGAGUGAUGAAGGCCCUAGGGUUGUAAAGCUCUUUCACCGGUGACGAUAAUGACGGUAACCGGAGAAGAAGCCCCGGCUAACUUCGUG